GUCCCUGAGGGGAUUUGGGAACGCUGUCACUGAGGGCUGGGGACACUCACUGUGAGGCACUGGGGACAUUGUCACUGGGAGGGGCCGCUCCGGGCCCGUUUUGAGGCCGGUUCGGGGCCGGGCCGGGCCCAUUCCGGGUUCGCUUCGGGGCCGCUCCGCUCCCGGCCCCGGGCACUCCAUGGCGACCCCUCCUCCCCUCACCGCCGGCAAGGGGCACGCCCCGCGGCGCCGUCCAAUCAGGAGCCAGAACGCCCGUGAUUGACAGGCCGUGCCCUCAGGGAGGAAGCGCCUCCACCAAUCAGAUCGAGGGCGGGAACCAGUCGGACCAAUAGGAGCUGUGGGUGGGCCGCGCCGCUGAGGAGAUCAACCAAUCAGAAGUGCUGUGGGCGAGGCCAAACGGGAGGCGGGCGGUGCCGCGCGUGCGCAGGCGGCUGAGGCGGGCGGUGAAGCGGCGGCGGCGCCGGGCGGACGCGGCAGCGAUGGAGCCGGGAUACGGUGGCUAUGGCACCUGGAGCACCGGGGCCACCGGCACCCAGGGUUCCUAUGGCACCAACACGACCAGCUGGCAAGGUGGGUGUGAGGGCU